rnacentral:rRNA from 1 species
CUAGAGUACUGUUGCCGUGGGAGGAAUGUGUAGUGUAGCGGUGAAAUGCAUAGAUAUUACACAGAACACCGAUUGCGAAGGCAUCUCACGAAGCAGGGACUGACGCUGAUACACGAAAGUGCGGGGAUCAAACAGGAUUAGAUACCCUGGUAGUCCGCACAGUAAACGAUGAUGACUAGCUGUAGGCGAUAGACAGUCUGUGGCUAAGCGAAAGCGAUAAGUCAUCCACCUGGGGAGUACGACCGCAAGGUUGAAACUCAAAGGAAUUGACGGGGGCCCGCACAAGCGGAGGAACAUGUGGUUUAAUUCGAUGAUACGCGAGGAACCUUACCCGGGCUCGAACGGUGCAGGAAGCCUUCAGAGAUGGAGGCGCUCUUCGGAGCCUGUAUCGAGGUGCUGCAUGGUUGUCGUCAGCUCGUGCCGUGAGGUGUCGGCUUAAGUGCCAUAACGAGCGCAACCCUUGCUGACAGUUGCCAUCAGGUAAAGCUGGGGACUCUGUCGGGACUGCCACCGUAAGGUGUGAGGAAGGGGGGGAUGACGUCAAAUCAGCACGGCCCUUAUGUCCGGGGCGACACACGUGUUACAAUGGUGGGUACAGCGGGUAGCUACACGGCGACGUGAUGCCAAUCCCUAAAACCCCUCUCAGUUCGGACUGGAGUCUGCAACCCGACUCCACGAAGCUGGAUUCGCUAGUAAUCGCGCAUCAGCCACGGCGCGGUGAAUACGUUCCCGGGCCUUGUACACACCGCCCGUCAAGCCAUGAAAGCCGGGGGUACCUGAAGUGCGUAACCGCAAGGAGCGCCCUAGGGUAAAACUGGUGAUUGGGGCUAAGUCGUAACAAGGUAACCA